CACCAACAUAAAUAUUUUGUUUUUUGUUUUUAAUGGGAAUUGUUGUUAUAUUUUUUUUCUCCUGCAAAACUUUUUAAAUUUAUUUUGCUACAGUAACCAGACGGGUGACCUUUUAAAGAACCAACAACGGAAAAAUUCAAAAUAAUGUCCUUUAACACAAUUUUAUGAAACCAGCAGCAACAACAAAUACGAAAACCCAGCCAAAUGUUAGCCUCCAUGCAGCAGCAAAAGCAACUCCAGCAGCAACAGCUUAACAUUUGUCAAUUCAUUUAAAAAAGUCCAUCCAUCAUUUCUUUCUUCCAUUGGAAGGAAAGCGUUUUUGCUUCGAUUUUCCUGGGCAAAAAUCUAUUCCUUUCAAGUGUGUCCUGAUUUGUGUGCGUGUUUUCCCCCCAUUCUCUUUUUUUGUGUUCAUUAAAUAUUUUGGCGAAAAUCCGCAGCCAAAAUGUAUCGUCACAUAGUGUAUUAUGUGACCAUUGGACUAAUAACAUUAAACGGUUUCGUAUGGCAGACCAGCAGAGCUGAACAGCAUCCAGCAACGGCAGAUGAAGGUAUGUGGAAUUCAAUUUACCUUUAAUACGAAAUGAAUUUAGUUUUCGUUUUUUGUGCGAACGACUUUUGGGCAAGUACAAAAAAAAAACUUAUAACAAAUUUUUAUAAUUAAAUAAUUAUGA